rnacentral:misc_RNA from 1 species
UAACCCCUCAAGCUCAGCUUGGUGUUGGGGCCUGCCUACUGGCAGCCCUUAAAAUCAGUGGCGGCGCCAUCUGGCUCUAAGCGUAGUAAUUUCUCUCGCUAUAGGGUUCCGAUGGACGCUGGCCAGCAACCCCCAAUUUUUUAAU